AUACGUAGGGAGCGAGCGUUGUCCGGAAUGAUUGGGCGUAAAGGGCGCGUAGGCGGCCCGGUAAGUCUGGAGUGAAAGUCCUGUUUUUAAGAUGGGAAUUGCUUUGGAUACUGUCGGGCUUGAGUGCAGGAGAGGUAAGUGGAAUUCCCAGUGUAGCGGUGAAAUGCGUAGAGAUUGGGAGGAACACCAGUGGCGAAGGCGACUUACUGGACUGUAACUGACGCUGAGGCGCGAAAGUGUGGGGAGCAAACAGGAUUAGAUACCCUGGUAGUCCACACUGUAAACGAUGAAUGCUAGGUGUAGGGGGUAUCGACCCCUUCUGUGCCGCAGUCAACACAAUAAGCAUUCCGCCUGGGAGUACGGCCGCAAGGUUGAAACUUAAAGGAAUUGACGGGG
rnacentral:rRNA from 1 species